CCUACGGGCGGCAGCAGUGAGGAAUAUUGGUCAAUGGACGAGAGUCUGAACCAGCCAAGUAGCGUGAAGGAUGACUGCCCUAUGGGUUGUAAACUUCUUUUAUAUGGGAAUAAAAUGUUCCACGUGUGGGAUUUUGUAUGUACCAUAUGAAUAAGGAUCGGCUAACUCCGUGCCAGCAGCCGCGGUAAUACGGAGGAUCCGAGCGUUAUCCGGAUUUAUUGGGUUUAAAGGGAGCGUAGGUGGAUUGUUAAGUCAGUUGUGAAAGUUUGCGGCUCAACCGUAAAAUUGCAGUUGAAACUGGCAGUCGUGAGUACAGUAGAGGUGGGCGGAAUUCGUGGGGUAGCGGUGAAAUGCUUAGAUAUCACGAAGAACUCCGAUUGCGAAGGCAGCUCACUGGACUGCAACUGACACUGAGGCUCGAAAGUGUGGGUAUCAAACAGGAUUAGAUACCCCAGUAGUC
rnacentral:rRNA from 1 species